rnacentral:rRNA from 1 species
UACGGAGGGUGGCAAGCGUUGUCCGGAAUCACUGGGCGUAAAGGGCGCGAUAGGCGGCUCGGUAAGUAGGGGGUGAAAUCCUGCGGCUUAACCGCAAGGGCUGCCUUCUAAACUCGUCGAGCUCGAGCACGGUAAGAGGCAGAUGGAAUUCCCCGGUGUAGCGGUGGGAAUGCGUAGGAGAUCGGGAAGAACAUCAGUGGCGAAGGCGGUCUGGCUGGGCCGUUGCUGACGCUGAGGCGCGACAGCGUGGGGAGCAAACAGG